rnacentral:lncRNA from 1 species
CGAGACCCCACCUGGGCAACGUGGCGGAGUUCAUUCCUGACUUAGGGCCUCAUCUAGUGUCAGUGCCUGGACUUCCCUUCACACAUAACUUCCCAGGGCUUCCUCCUUCCUGUGACUCCACAAUAGCCCUCUGCCCAGCAAUUGGUCACCCUCUGUACAUCACUUUGAGUCCAUUUUGUCAAACAAUUUCUAUGUGAAACACGCUGAUUUAUUUGUACAUGUC